UAGGAUAUGGUGUAUUGGUAGCACGAAGAACUUUGAAUUCUUAGGUUUAGGUUCAAUUCCUAUUAUUCUAG
rnacentral:tRNA from 1 species